rnacentral:tRNA from 1 species
GGGGCUGUAGGUCAGUGGUAGAGCGUUUGCCUAGCAUGCAUGAGGCACUGGGUUCGAUCCUCACUCAGCAUCA